CACGUGAGGGGGCUAGCGUUGUUCGGAAUUACUGGGCGUAAAGCGCGUGUAGGCGGCCAUCUAAGUCGGGCGUGAAAUCCCACGGCUCAACCGUGGAAGUGCCACUCGAAACUGACAUAGCUAGAGUCCUGGAGAGGAAGGUGGAAUGCUUGGUGAUAGAGGUGAAAUUCGUAGAUAUCGAAGCGGAAACACCGGGUGGCGAAGG
rnacentral:rRNA from 1 species